ACCUACGGGGGGCAGCAGUGGGGGAUAUUGCACAAUGGGGGGAACCCUGAUGCAGCGACGCCGCGUGGGUGAAGAAGCGCCUCGGCGCGUAAAGCCCUGUCAGCAGGGAAGAAAAUGACGGUACCUGAAGAAGAAGCCCCGGCUAACUACGUGCCAGCAGCCGCGGUAAUACGGAGGAUGCGAGCGUUAUUCGGAUUUAUUGGGUUUAAAGGGUGCGUAGGCGGACUGGAAAGUCAGCGGUAAAAUCGAGAGGCUCAACCUCUUUCCGCCGUUGAAACUGUCGGUCUUGAGUGGGCGAGAAGUAU
rnacentral:rRNA from 1 species